rnacentral:pre_miRNA from 1 species
UGCCCUAGCAGCGGGAACAGUACUGCAGUAAACCAUUAGUACUCUGGAGUAUUGCUUCUGCUGCCUGAGUA